rnacentral:rRNA from 1 species
UACGUAGGCAGCAAGCGUUGUUCGGAGUUACUGGGCGUAAAGGGUGUGUAGGCGGUUCUCUAAGUCUGGUGUGAAAUCUCCCGGCUCAACUGGGAGGGUGCGCCGGAAACUGGAGGGCUAGAGUACUGGAUGGGAGAGUGGAAUUCCUGGUGUAGCGGUGAAAUGCGUAGAUAUCAGGAGGAACACCUGUGGUGUAGACGGCUCUCUGGACAGUAACUGACGCUGAGACACGAAAGCGUGGGUAGCAAACAGG